UACGUAGGGUGCAAGCGUUAUCCGGAUUCACUGGGUUUAAAGGGUGUGUAGGCGGAUAUUUAAGUCAGUGGUGAAAUCUCCGGGCUCAACCCGGAAACUGCCAUUGAUACUAUUUAUCUUGAAUAUCGUUGAGGUUGGCGGAAUAUAUCAUGUAGCGGUGAAAUGCAUAGAUAUGAUAUAGAACACCGAUUGCGAAGGCAGCUAACUAAGCGAUUAUUGACGCUGAGGCACGAAAGCGUGGGGGAUCAAACAGG
rnacentral:rRNA from 1 species